UAUAUAUAUAUAUAUAUAUAUACAUACAUACAUACAUAUAUACAUAUAUACAUACACACAUAUAUUGCCUGAUUAGGCAGUGAAAAGGAAUAGUGAGUGAUUGAAUGUGUAUGCUAACUAAGGGUCAAACAAAUGUAACUUUUCCUCCCCUCAUGUCUCUACUUAAUAGUGAUAUGUAAAUACAUGAACCUCAUUGGGUAAUGUUUCCAGGUCAGUGGACAGUAACCAAUAAGCUAUCAGCAUUUUGAAGUUCUCCUACUCUCAAACGCAAGGCAAACACACCUGUGACAGUUUCAUCUUCAAGACUGGUCAUCAAGAGAAAAUAAUGGGAGAAGAAAGAAGUUACACUUUUCUUCAUCUACCAAGGACAUUUGUAAUAUCAUUGGCUCCUUAGCUCACAGAACAACUGUGGGCUACAAGCCACCAAACUCUUGUGCUGAUAUUUUGUGUUUGCUAAACCAUACUAGGGGCCACCUUAGUCCACAACGGACAGAUUUAGGGCUAAUUGUUGAAAAUCACAAUUUAGUGGCUUGACAGCUUUGGUCGGUAUUGUGGGUAAUGACUCCUAAUCCAUGGGAUUCCCAUGAAUCCAUUUCUGUGGCAUGCAUCCUGACAAGACUAUCGUAGCAUGGUUAUGGCAUGGUUAACUCCAACUAAUAUGCAUGGGUAGUCCGAGGCGAGUAAGAGGCGGAACAGUGUUAGAUGAUCAUCAUGAGAGAGAAACCCUCAGGUCACAGUGACCUCUAACAUCACUCGUAGGUAGAUCAGAUCAUCCGGCAGCAUUACCUAGCCAUACCCACACAAAACAAAAAUGACUAUUAUACAGGAUACUAAUCGAAUGCCUUAACUAAACGUUAAAAACUACACUAAUAGGAUAUUAACACCUUUGGUUUUCCAAACUUUGCCUCUUGGUUUUUUAUCAUUUAUGUCCACCAUUUUUUUUUUUAAUACACAUGCACCAGAACCCGAAUUACCCUUUAGGGACGUUCAUUCAGAUCACUGAUUUAAGUCAGAGAUUUGGAUGAAACUUACAUCCCUUCUCUGCUGAGACGAUGUCACCCCAUUGUGUCCUGUGUAGCACAAUGCUAGGGUACAGUUGGUAUAAAACCACCCCAAUAUAGAGUGGAAAGUCCUAAACUGGUAUAUGUGAACUAUAAUCCAUCCAGAGUCAACUGCCCACCCCCAACCCUCACCCAUGUGUAGGACCUGUAUUAUAUAUCUAAGACAGGUCAUGACCUAACCAUGAAAUGAUGAGGUAGGAUCAAACCUGUUAAUUGCGUGUAAGGUCUUGAAUGAUGGACUGAAAGAGGUGUGGUAUGCCGUGGAUAUGUUUAAGUGUCCACUCGCAAAACGCUGUCGGCGACAUGGAAAACGUAGCGAACACAACAAGUGGGGUCAUAUGACUGCAUAACAGCAAAACAUUUGAAUUGAUUUUUUCCGGUUAUUUGAGUGAUUUGGUUCAGAAGCCAGUAUCACGCCAAAUUUGGGGCAGUCUCCCUUUGUUUGUUUGAUAUUAAAACAUGACAAGUAUUUACAAAGAUAUAUUGGCCGAUAAGCAGGGAGUGUUGUGAGCUUUGAUAUAUUCAGAUAACUGAAACUACUACAGUAAAUUCACUGCCUAAUAUUGUUAUUAUUAUGACUAUUAUUAUAUUACUGCAAGGAUUUAGUUUCUAGUGCUGCCACGGUGUCAUUGCAAUUCUCCCCAACCCCCUCUAGAAGUUUACAACUGAUAAGUGCUCUAAAGGUAGAUUUUAUUACUCCUGUUAUUCAUGAUAAUAUUUCGUAGCUACCCAAUUUGUUAACCCUAUAGACAAACCAUACUUUGUACAAAUUUCGUAAAAUCGACUUUAUACCGUUUCCUCACAUAUAUAACUAAGGUGGGUUUUUGUAUUUCUUAACAAUCUAGUAGUAGUGAGAACAAAAUGGAUUGUGUGGUAGAUGAUGUGUCGAUGAUAUUGUUAGCAAACACCGUGGAUUACAUUUUGAUCAAUGUUUCCCAUCGAGGAUGCUCCCAUUCAAACCAGUCAGUGAAGUGUCUCAUAUUGAAAAUACUUUAAUCAAACGCACAUUACUUUGUCUGUGGACUCGUUUGUUUCUGUUUUACAAACACCUGUGUAUAUUUUUUCAGACGAGAUUAUUUAUUUAUUUACACAGAUUAUUUAUGUAUAGAAAAAAAUUGUACUGCAGUUUUUCGACGUACACUGUAGGUUCAACGUGCAAUACAGAUAUAUUUAACACAUUAUUACUACAAUAUCUUUGAUGUGAACUGAACUACAUUUAUACUCCAGCUAGGAGGUUAAAACUAAGACAUCAGACAUGAUCUUCUCUCUAGUGUUUCUCGCACCCUUUUUGCCAACCCAUCAUCAUCUAUUCCCUUUCUCCAAGGAAGAAACGUUUUUUAACGUUAUGUUAAGUAGCAUGUUUACAAAGGGAAACUGUCGAAUAUUUCCAGUAUAGGCUUACUGUCAGCUUUGGGGUGUCACGACAAGCAUACGGGAGCAUGAAAAGGGGCCACUUCAAGGCAAAGCGGUCGCGAUACGAGCCGUUAAUAAGCACAGCAGUGACGAGCAGAGACGUUAAACAAGAUCAGUGGUCAAGCAGCUAGCUGCAACGGUAGCCUACCAUCGUACUCCCUCCCGCCAAAUCACACGUCUGCGCCCCUGAACUUAAAAGCAACGGUUACAUCAAAGGUUUCCCUUGGCUCGUUGGUGGCCUUUGACUGAGUAGAGGCUGUCUCUGUAACAGUUGGUGUACGGUAUAUAGAGUGUUACUAAUAGUACACCCAAUGUGUCCUGCUUCUCCCCGGAUGAUGUGGCCCAGCGCCACGCACCUGCUCUCUGCCCCCAUAGAACUGUUUACAAUAUCGCAACAUGAUUCUGUGUUUUGAUAAACUUCUGUACCAACUGUCUAGCGGUGCCCUUGGCUGUUCUUGUAGCUAGAUGUGAUGUCUCCCCGCCCCAGUGUUCGUAUGACUCGUGUUUCCUCUAAAGACGCAUGGUGAACGUGUGGUAGCAGCAUGAUCUACGAUGAUGGAUGUUUCUAUACAUAUGUGAUGAUAGGUUGAUUCCUGUGAUUGACUUCUAACAAAACCCAACCUUUUUUUGUAACAAACAAUAAACAAAGCGGCAUAAGAAAAUACAUUACAUGUGAUGUGAAUGGAAACGUGUACUAACCUGGUAACACAACAUGGACACCGGGACUUGUGUGUUUCAAACACACAACUACAGGCAUACACAUAUGAAGGGAUUCUGUGUCUGUGUAAUUAUACUUCCUUUAAAGCUGUGAAAUGAGAGCCUUCUCUGUUUUUGUUAAGGCUGUGCCUGCGACAAAUACCAUUCAAUUCCAUCUUGUUGGUGUAAAAUAUUUCUGUGUGUACCCCCACCACCCUCCCGCCCCCCCGUCUCGCUCUGUAACCAGUGUCUUGUGGCGUUUUACCCGUGAUGAAACUUCUCUUUGCCUGAACCUUUGUAGGGUUACAACGACUGAGUUAUUACAAUACCAUGUGAUAGAGAUAUACAUUAUUCAAUACUGUAAUAAAUUAUUAACCAAAAUGGAUUUUUUUAACAAAAUGAUUGUGGAAAAAAUAAGCAAAUAGGGAUGACGCUUGUUUUGGGAAUAUGGCAUGAGGUGUUAAUGUGUUACUGAAAGAAAUUAAGCUAUUUAUUGAGCUAAGGUAGACCUUGUUUAAAUAUAGUUUAUUUAUUUUCAUCGCUAACUGUGUCUGUGUCGUUAUUCUUUGCAGCACCCCUAGAUUAAAAC
ensembl:lncRNA